UACUCAAAAACUCCUAACCAGCAACAUAGGAUUCCAUUCACUACGCUAAGCUAACUAGCGGCGGCGCUGCCGGUGUUGCACCGGACUAAAACAAUGCAUGCACUGAGACCAAAAAAUGCAUUGGCCCACCUAUUUACAGUUAGGGGAGACCGUGAUAAGCACUAUUUCAACAAACGGUGGCGUGUUCCUUUAAAACACAAUGGCUCAUUACCAUCAAGUG